rnacentral:lncRNA from 1 species
UUUUUUUUGAGAUAGAGUUUCUCUGUGUAGCCCCAGCUGUCAUGGCACUCUGUAGACCGGGCUGGCCAUGAACUCACAGAGAUCCACCUGCCUCUGCCUCCUAAGUGCUGGGAUUAAAGACAUGUGCCACCACCACCCAGCUAGCUAGUUUUAUUUUUACAAAGGCUCACAGGCAAGUUUACUUUGACCAUCAGAAGAGACUUGGAACAAUGUUGGAACUGUUAAGAAGAUGGGGCAGGUUUCCUCAUCAGGACUAGUUAAUGAAAGUAAAGCAUUUGGCAGAAUCUGACACAGCAAGCCUACACAUCUGGUGCUACACAAGUUCAUCAAGUACAGCUGGGAUUAAAGGAGUGUGCCACCAACGCCUGGCCUGCAUUUGUUUUUAUUGAAGGGACCAGACCCUCACCCAGCCCCCUGCUUUAGCAGCCAUGACAGGCUGCAGAAAAGACCCAGCAAGAUAUAGGCCUCUCACUCAGCAAAAUGUGCUGGGCUUCCUGACCUUGCCCCUCCUCCCAGUCACUAGGAGGUCAGAUACCCUCCAAGUGGCAAGGAACCAAUCAGAAGUUAGCUGGCAGGUUCUGGACAUGCUUUACAGUAAAAGUUGCAAGGAUGUGCAGAGCAUAGCAACUGCCCUGGGAGGCCAUAGCAACCAGUUAACCAAUCAACACAGAACAGGUCACAGAAGUGAACCAAUCCUGAGACUGUUGCAUACCCCUAGAUACUCCCCUUGUGCACCCCAAUAAACUCCUUGCCUCAGAAAUCACAAUCCUUCUGUCUUAGUCUCAAAAGUAUGCUUACAGACAUGAACUCUCACACCCAUCAUUAUUCUGUUAUAUUUUAUUUAUUUAUUGUUUUGUUUUGCUUGUUUUUGCUUCUGUUCUGUAGUUUUUUUCAUAACAGGCCUAGAUACUGCUUUUAAUUUAUUGUGCUUGAAAUUAAUUAGAUUUCUUCCACCAAUGAAUUGAUUUUUCCCUCUCUCUCUCUCUCUCUCUCUCUCUCCCUCUCUCUCUCUCUCUCUCUCUCUCUCUCUCUCUCUCUCUCUCUCUCUCUCCCCCCUGGUUGGCCUGGAAUUUCCUUUGCAGCCCAGGCUAGCUUUAAAUUGAAUUUUUUUCUUUAGUUCUAAAACAUCAUUAAUCAUUAUUUAUUCAAUUAUUACUCCUUCAGGGCUGUUUUAAUAAUACAUCACUGUGGCUGAAGAGGGCUCAGAGGAUAAAGUGCUUGUGAUGCAAAAGUGAGGACCACAGUUGGGACCCUUAGAGCUCACAGGAAACACUGGAGAGGCGUGAUAGCCCAUCUGUAAUCCCAGUUCUCCAGAAGCAGAAACCAAGGAUCCCUGGAGCAAGCUGGGUAGUCACACUGUCUAGAAUUGUAUUCUGAGAAGAGGAACCUCAAUUGAGAAACUUCUGCCACCAGAUUGGCCUGUGGGUGAGCAUUUUCUUGAUUAAUUAUUGAUAUGGGC